GGGGUCCUUGCCUCUCGACGCGCAGGGACUUGGGAGCUCACCGGGAAGAGAAAAGGCGUUUGUGCAAACGAGGGGCAGCUGAAAACAAGCAAGAUACGACUCGGUUUUUGAAGGUGAGAGAAGAUUCCUUAAGGCCAAUCCAGUCCACCACUGUUUCUAUAAGAACUGCGGAUUUCUAAUAAUAAAGUGCCUUUUCAUGCCUUCUGAUGAGUCUCUGUAUCACCUUUGGCUCUCCCCAGUACCUCUUCGGUGAUAAUUGGAUUUAUUUAGGACAUAACUAUGCAGCCAGGUAUUGCAGGUCAUGAGGUAAAUAUUGGCUGGUUUUCUGAGCCUGAUGGUGAACAGACAUCCACUGAAGAAAGAUAUGGGAAUAAACCAAGAAUGAGAAAGUAGCAAAAUCCUCUGCCACAAUUUGAAAAGCUUGCAAGAUUGUGAUUUAUAUAUACUUGUAAAUUUGUUUAUAAAUAUUUUAUCCGAGAAAGUAUUUGUGUGAGCCAAAACAGUAUAUUUAAACCAGCAUAUGUCCAGCAGCUACUGGAAAAGAGGCAGAUAUUUUCAGGCCGAAUCCCUUGUUCUUUAUGCAAACGCUUUUAUUGAUUGAAGUGUUAUUGAAUGGACUGUAUGUCUGAGCUGAUCUGGAUCCAAUAAACCCUAUUUUUUUUUCAUUAAUUUGUUUUCUAGCAUGCUGUGGGUGGCACAGGGAGGGGACAGAACAGAGUUCAAUCAGAUUAAACCCAGCACAAAGCUAAACCUGACUCAGCAAACUGGGAGAGAGAUUACAUUUAUAGUAGGAUGUGAUCCCUGAUGCAAUUUACAGCUCAGGUACAUAAGUGAGGGAGGCAGUGAGUAAGAGCAGCUGGGACUAGAAUGGUGGGACUAACCAUAUUAGAGACAGGCCAGAUUUAUGUCAGGUUAAAAUGACUACACAGCUGUUCCCUAUGAAGAGCACACACAGGGAAAGCAGGUUAGAAAAGCACACAGUGGUACAACAGCUUACUGAAAAGCAGUUACAUGAGCAAAAAACAUCCAUCUUUCUGAGAAUUUCAUACACAUGGCUCUCUGGCUGUGGAAUUUACUAUAUAUUUGCAUUUUCUUAGCAGAAGUAUGAACUGGGAGAUGUAAGGAUUAUAUUUAAAUAUUUUACAUUGCAAAGCUGGCAU